CGGGACGCCUUGGUCGAUGGAAGGGCGGCUUGCACAAAUACUGGGGGCCAUGGACAGGAAAAGAGGGUGAUUCUGCCAUCAGACUCUCCUAUCCUGAACUGACAGCCUGCGGGGAGAGGGACUCAAACUCAAGGUCUCGGUGUUGGAUUUGUACUCUAGAGAGCUCUGCUCCCCCAUGGGAGAGAAGAAGCCUCACUGUGCACCCUCCCCACCCUGCCCUGCUCUCACUGCCUGGUCUCAGGCCUCAACUCCCCACCCAUGGCCUGUGGUGAGAAGGUGCUAAGAACCUAGUUUCAUUUCUGCCCUCCCUGCCCACCCAGAGCAAGGAGAAUCCUAGCUAAAAGGCUGGCAGAGAAGAGCGCCCCAGCACUGUGGGUGGGGCCAGGAGGAGCCCAGGCAACCUUACUGUCAUGCCCAAGAUGAAGCUGAGGGUCCGUCGCAGGGAGGAGCCUGCCCAGGUACCUGAGCCCCCUUCCAGUUGGCUACAGCUGGAGAGAGAAAAAGAAGAGGUGAAGAGAUAGAGCUGGAGCUGGAAAGGAACAACAAG